rnacentral:rRNA from 1 species
GGACCGUAUACAAGUCUCCUGGGAUGGAGCAUCAUAGAGGGUGAGAAUCCCGUCUCUGAUACGGACUACCAGUGCAUUGUGGUAUGCUCUCAACGAGUCGAGUUGUUUGGGAAUGCAGCUCAAAAUGGGUGGUAAAUUCCAUCUAAAGCUAAAUAUUGGCGAGAGACCGAUAGCGAACAAGUACCGUGAGGGAAAGAUGAAAAGAACUUUGGAAAGAGAGUUAAACAGUACGUGAAAUUGCUGAAAGGGAAACGCUUGAAGUCAGUCGCGUCUGCUGGGAAUCAGCCUUGCUUUUGCGUGGUGUACUUCCUAGUUUGAUGGGUCAGCAUCAAUUUUGACUGCUGGAAAAAGAUAGGAGGAAUGUGGCAGCUCCGGCUGUGUUAUAGCCUCUUAUUGUAUACAGCAGUUGGGAUUGAGGAACGCAGCACGCCGAAAGGCCGGGUCUUCGGACUAUGUUCGUGCUUAGGAUGCUGGCAUAAUGGCUUUAAGCGACCCGUCUUGAAACACGGACCAAGGAGUCUAACAUGCCUGCGAGUGUUUGGGUGGAAAACUCGAGCGCGUAAUGAAAGUGAAAGUUGAGAUCCCUGUCGUGGGGAGCAUCGACGCCCGGACCAGAACUUUUGGGACGGAUCCGCGGUAGAGCAUGUAUGUUGGGACCCGAAAGAUGGUGAACUAUGCCUGAAUAGGGUGAAGCCAGAGGAAACUCUGGUGGAGGCUCGUAGCGGUUCUGACGUGCAAAUCGAUCGU